rnacentral:tRNA from 2 species
GGAGGGGUGCCCGAGCGGCCAAAGGGAGCAGACUGUAAAUCUGCCGGCGUAUGCCUUCGUAGGUUCGAAUCCUACCCCCUCCA